rnacentral:rRNA from 1 species
AACGAACGCUGGCGGCGCGCCUAAUACAUGCAAGUCGAGCGAGAAGACGUAGCAAUACGUUUGUAAAGCGGCGAACGGGUGAGGAAUACAUGGGUAACCUACCCUCGAGUGGGGAAUAACUAGCCGAAAAGGUUAGCUAAUACCGCGUACGCUCCUUGGACUUCGGUUCAGGGAGGAAAGCGAUACCGUGGGUAUCGCGCUCUUGGAUGGGCUCAUGUCCUAUCAGCUUGUUGGUGAGGAACGGCUCACCAAGGCUUCGACGGGUAGCUGGUCUGAGAGGACAAUCAGCCACACUGGCACUGCGACACGGGCCAGACUCCUACGGGAGCAGCAGUAAGGAAUAUUGCGCAAUGGGCGAAAGCCUGACGCAGCGACGCCGCGUGGGGGAUGAAGGUCUUCGGAUUGUAAACCCCUUUCGGGAGGGAAGAUGGAACGAGCAAUCGUUCGGACGGUACCUCCAGAAGCAGCCACGGCUAACUUCGUGCC